GAUUGUCGGGAGUUAAGAAAUGUAAGGAUGUUAAUAGUAUUCUUACUUGACUAAGGCUCCGGAGGAAGCCACGGCUAACUCUGUGCCAGCAGCCGCGGUAAUACAGAGGCGGCAAGCGUUGUUCGGAAUUAUUGGGCGUAAAGAGCAUGUAGGCGGCUAUGUAAGUCGGUUGUGAAAGCCUUCCGUUUAACGGAAGAAUGGCGGCCGAAACUGCAUAGCUUGAGUGCGGUAGGGGAGAG
rnacentral:rRNA from 1 species